rnacentral:rRNA from 1 species
CCAAUAGCGUAUAUUAAAGUUGUUGCAGUUAAAAAGCUCGUAGUUGAAUUUCGGGAUCAGUGGGUCGGUCGUGCCACUGGUAUGCACUGGCUCUACUGGUUCCUCCUUCUUGAAGAACUGUAAUGCCAUUAAUUUGGUGUUGCAGGGAAACAGGACUGUUACUUUGAAAAAAUUAGAGUGUUUAAAGCAGGCAAUCGCUGGAAUACAUUAGCAUGGAAUAAUGAAAUAGGACGUUCGAUCCUAUUUUGUUGGUUUCUAGGAUUGACGUAAUGAUUAAUAGGGAUAGUUGGGGGCAUUAGUAUUCAAUUGUCAGAGGUGAAAUUCUUGGAUUUAUUGAAGACUAACUACUGCGAAAGCAUUUGCCAAGGAUGUUUUCAUUAAUCAAGAACGAAAGUUAGGGGAUCGAAGACGAUCAGAUACCGUCGUAGUCUUAACCAUAAACUAUGCCGACUAGGGAUCGGAUGAUGUUAAUUUUUUAAUGACUCAUUCGGCGCCUUACG